UACGGAGGGUGCAAGCGUUAAUCGGAAUUACUGGGCGUAAAGCGUGCGCAGGCGGUUUUUUAAGUCCGUUGUGAAAGCCCCGAGCUCAACUUGGGAAUUGCAGUGGAUACUGGCAGGCUGGAGUACGGUAGAGGAAGGUGGAAUUCCCGGUGUAGCAGUGAAAUGCGUAGAGAUCGGGAGGAACACCAGUGGCGAAGGCGGCCUUCUGGACCAGUACUGACGCUCAUGCACGAAAGCGUGGGGAGCAAACAGG
rnacentral:rRNA from 1 species